GCCAGUGUGGCAUAGUGGUUUGAGUGCUGGACUAGGACUCUGGAGUCCAGGGCUCGAUCCCCAGCUCAGUCA